GAGGAAUCUUCCACAAUGGGCGAAAGCCUGAUGGAGCAACGCCGCGUGUAGGAUGAAGGCCUUCGGGUUGUAAACUGCUUUUAUUAGUGAGGAAUAUGACGGUAACUAAUGAAUAAGGGUCGGCUAACUACGUGCCAGCAGCCGCGGUCAUACGUAGGACCCAAGCGUUAUCCGGAGUGACUGGGCGUAAAGAGUUGCGUAGGUGGUUCGUAAAGCGAAUAGUGAAAUCUGGGGGCUCAACCUCACAGGCUAUUAUUCGAACUCACAAACUCGAGAGUGGUAGAGGUAACUGGAAUUUCUAGUGUAGGAGUGAAAUCCGUAGAUAUUAGAAGGAACACCAAUGGCGUAGGCAGGUUACUGGACCAUUUCUGACACUGAGGCACGAAAGCGUGGGGAGCGAACCGGAUUAGAUACCCUGGUAG
rnacentral:rRNA from 1 species